ACAGGAAUUUGCUAAGGAGGAGCAAAAUGCAGAUCAUCUUUUCUUUUGUUACCAUUGUUGCAAGGAGAUCCUCCUCUGUGGUUUCCAGUUCAAGUGAGAUGUACAACCCAUGCUUCACAAUAACAAUUCAGUGAAUGAAGAAAUCCUUUCAUCAAAAUGAGAGGCUGGCACCUCACCAUCCUUCAGCAUCAGGCUCUGUGAUGUUCACCUUCUCAGGCAUCCAGUUGUUGAAGAAAAGCCUCUUUAAACGUGCUUGCCUGCCUAUGGAAGGACAGCAAAGAAGGUUCCAGCUUGACCUCCCGUGGAAGGGAAUUCCACAGGUUGGGAGCAUGAAUUUACGACAGCAUUUUUUAAAAAGCAAUUCAGCCAAAUUUGCACUACACAUUACAAUUUCAGCCUUCAUUAUUAUUAUUAUUAUAUAAGUAUUGUAAGAAUAAUGUUCAGAAUCCUGUUUCCAAUGUAGAGAGCAUAACUUUAUCAGAAUAACUGUCAACUGUAAAUUGCUGUAGUUAAGAAAUGAGCAUAGGUAGUUCCUGUUUCUCAGAGUCAUGCAUAAUGGAUAUGUGAUAGGAAAUGCCUAUGUGAUUUCUUAACAUGUGGGAAUUUGCUGUUGAAACUUAUGUCAAUGGAGUAAUUAGUAGGAUUCUGACUGUUAUAUUUAUAAUAAACAUAUUUGUAAUAGAUUUCUAUUGUAAUAGAUUUAUAUUAUUUAUUUUAUAUUUUAUAGUCUCAUGAAUACACAAAUGUAUUGAUUCCAAUGAUUGAUUUAAAACAAAUUGCUUCCUGGUUCAGCAUCUUUGUUGUUCAGAAUCUAGUCUGUUACUAUCUGAUAAAAAAGUAAGCAUUCUAACAAGAACCAACUUGCUUAUUCUGGUCACUAACAUUAUCAGAAUUAAUUAUAUUGGUUAAUAAUGCUAUUCUCAAUUUGACAUUUCCUAUUUCCCAACUGCCCUGUAUACUUGUAUAUACUGUAAUGGAUUUUGACUAAAUAACCGGCACUGUGUGCUUGAGAAAUCCAAAAAAGCUCAAACUGAAAUAAAUUUGUUAGCCUUUGAGGUGCUUCUAUACUUUGGUUUUUCAUGUUUGUUUUGCAUAUAAUAGAUGUUGAAGCAGACUAACAUGGCUAUAACUUAUUUUGGGGAAAUGUGAGACUAAGUAUUUUUUUUAAAAUGCAACAAUGAUGGUAACUAAUUUUGA